UAUUAGGUUGGUGCAAAAUUAAUUGCCGUCUCAGCCAUUGAAAGUAGUGGCAAAAACUGCAAUCACUUUUGCACCAACCUAAUA
ensembl:miRNA